CCCUUUGUGAACAUACCUAACCGUUGCUUCGGCGGGCAGGGGAAGCCUCUCGCGGGCCUCCCCUCCCGGCGCCGGCCCCCACCACGGGGACGGGGCGCCCGCCGGAGGAAACCAAACUCUAUUUACACGACGUCUCUUCUGAGUGGCACAAGCAAAUAAUUAAAACUUUUAACAACGGAUCUCUUGGUUCUGGCAUCGAUGAAGAACGCAGCGAAAUGCGAUAAGUAAUGUGAAUUGCAGAAUUCAGUGAAUCAUCGAAUCUUUGAACGCACAUUGCGCUCGCCAGCAUUCUGGCGAGCAUGCCUGUUCGAGCGUCAUUUCAACCCUCAAGCACCGCUUGGUUUUGGGGCCCCACGGCACACGUGGGCCCUUAAAGGUAGUGGCGGACCCUCCCGGAGCCUCCUUUGCGUAGUAACUAACGUCUCGCACUGGGAUUCGGAGGGACUCUUGCCGUAAAACCCCCAAAUUUUUUACAGGUUGACCUCGGAUCAGGUAGGAAUACCCGCUGAACUUAAGCAUAUC
rnacentral:rRNA from 1 species